rnacentral:rRNA from 1 species
GACGAACGCUGGCGGCGUGCUUAACACAUGCAAGUCAAGGGGGCCCAGUAGCAAUACUGGGCAACCGGCGAACGGGUGCGUAACACGUGAGCAACCUACCGAAAUGUGGGGGAUAGGCCGGCCUAACGGCCGAGUAAUACCGCAUACGCUCUCGAGUGAGGCAUUUCAUUGAGAGGAAACCUACGGGACAUUUCGAGGGGCUCGCGGCCUAUCAGCUAGUUGGCGAGGAACGGCUCACCAAGGCAACGACGGGUAGCUGGUCUGAGAGGAUGGCCAGCCACAUUGGGACUGAGACACGGCCCAGACUCCUACGGGAGGCAGCAGUAGGGAAUCUUGCACAAUGGACGAAAGUCUGAUGCAGCGACGCCGCGUGAGGGAUGACGGCCU